CAGGUGCAUGCUGGGUCUACAUCAAAUGUCCACGGCGGGUUUCACUCAUGGUUUCUUUCUUCAGUUCAGUGUGCGCGGAUUCAUGAUAUUUUUGACAAACUCAAAGUACCAGCUCAAAAUAUUUUCUGGGCGCAGUAGGACGAGAGAAACUGAAUAGACCCGUCAUUUUAUAUACAUCAGGAAUAAAUGCUACCACCAAGAAACUGGACCCUCAUGACAGCUUGUGUAGGACUUUGUGGUUCAAACAGCUCCACAGUUGCAUCACUGAAGGAUGACAGUGCACUGAAGCAGUCACCUGUAGUGUUAUGUUCCCCUACAGUCACUGGGGGAUACAGAGAUGCCAUGGCUGAACCAGUGGCUUUCUUGGCUCAAAACAGACACUGCAGUUUUUGUGAGUAACUGUUCUAACAGGUGUCCUGGCAUGAGCUUCUCCUUAAGGAUCGCACAGGAUUGGACAGGAAAAAUGCCAAAAAUUUGCUGGUUGCUGCUUCUCAAAUGUAGGCAACACUGUACAGAUUACAGCACAUGGACAGGAAGAUGAUGGGCCUUUCGGGGUACGAGAAGCGCUGUGAAUCCAGCAGAAAU